AUCAUACACUAAUCAUACACGCAAACAUGUACGAUCAAUAUCAGGGACUCACGGGAAGAUAUCACAACACAACUCUAAACACAAAAGAAAGAAAUACAAGCUUCAUAUUACAAGCCAGGGGCCCCGAGGGCUCGAAUACAUAAGCUCGAUACACAAGCGAUUCAGCGAAAGCAACAAUAUCUGAGUACAGACAUAAGUUAAACAAGGAUGCCUUAAGAAGGCUAGUACAAAAGCAACACGAUCGAAGAGGCAAGGCCUCCUGCCUGGGACCUCCUAAACUACUCCUGGUCGUCGGCGGUCUCCACGUAGCAUCCAUCGGCGAUGGCAUCUGGCUCCAGGGAUCCACGAUCUGGUUGCAACAACUGGAAAGAAGAAAGAAGGGGGGAAGGGGGGGGUUAGCAAAGCAACCGUGAGUACUCAUCCAAAGUACUCGUAAGCAUCAGAUCUAUACUAAGUAUGUGUUGGUAUCAAAUGGAGUUUGUAUCUGUGGACUGAACUGCAGAAUGCCAGAAUAGAGGAGGAAGGCCUAGCCUAUCAAAGACUAGCAUCUUCAAGCAGCUCCAAGCAUCUUGCGGCAUGUAGAAGAGUAAAGAAGAGCAGUUUACAAUUAUCAAACAUGUUGUAACAUCAACGCCCAAAGAUCCUUCCUCGACUCCCCGCGAGAAAGCAAUCCUGGGGCCACAUAUCCAUCACAUAUCUCAAGUAUCCAUUUCUAGUUAUAUAAGAUCCAGAUACAAAUCUGAACGUCCAUUACAAUGGACAUGGUAUUCGAAUAUAUAUCUUCCCUUCAGGGGUGCACCAUGUUACCCAACACGCUCGGUCAAUCUGGUCGGACACACCUUUCUGGGGUCAAUGCCUGGCCUUGGAAGAUCAACACGUCGCAGCCCUACCUAGGCUCAGCAGAGAGGUCCCCGCCGGUCUACAUCCUAAGCACUUUGGGGUCUGGUCCCAUCGCCCAUUGCACUCCGGGUUGUUGUGUGCAGGGUGGAUACCAGCAUCAUCCAUGUAGUGGAUGGCACCAUCCGACCGUGCCACAAUGCUGAACUGGACAUCUGACAAAGCUUUGGCUGGUACCACGACAUCGAGGCCCAUAUCUAUUCUCGCGUGGUGGUUAGUGCGUAAAGGCCAAAGGCCAACUCAGAACAAAUACCCAAACCUGUUAGUGCAUUGGGGGCUCGCGGAAACGAGCAGUGACUCACGAUAAGGUAACCCCGUCGCCCCGUCUCAUGGACUUACGGCAAGGGCCCAGACUGCCCGGAUGUGCCAUGUGGAAAACUCACAGGUGCUCCACGGGCCCGCCCGACUUCCACAUCAACUCACGGGUACCCCUCAGGGCCGACCCGACUUCAACAAUGGUCUCAAGUAAAGUCAAGGUAAACCUGUGUCCAAACAUCAAGGGGAAAACCCGAGGAAUCACCCCCGAUGGAUUCCACUCAAUGUAAUCAUCAUGGUGAACGUAAGAGGGACCACCCUCGAGGUUCACACUUGAGGUGUUGAACGACAGAGCCGUAUCAGGAAUGGUGAAAGAGGGAAUCACCCUCGAUGACCACGGCCGAAUAGCUAAACUACAGAAUUAUCAUGAGGAGUGCGUUAUGAGGGAUCACCAUCAGCACUCGAUAGUAGCUCUGCAGAGUCGAGCAACUAAAGGGGCGUGAUGUGAUGUGAGGUUUCAGGCUCUAGUCAUCGAUCACGUUGAUCGAGUCGUCGAAGAUGAAGCAGGGGCAACAACGACAAGGUGGGGGUCACUAGUGGGUCUCUAACCAACUUAUACUAAGCAGUUUGGGAUAAGCAGGUAAGGUACAAUGAGCAGGUUACAAAAGCAGCAUAUGCAUCAGAAUAGGAGCAAACAAUAACAGAAGCAAAAUCCAAUGCAAGCAGGAUAGUAUAGAAUGGGCGAUAUAGGGAUGAUCAAAGGGGGGGCUUGCCUGGAAGCUCCGCUGAAAGGGGUAGAAGGGUCGUUGUCGAUGUAGUCGAUCACAGGGACAUCAACAUCGGUCUCGGGGUCUACCGGAGAGAAGAGGGGGAAGAAACAGUAAAUACACGCAAACAUAUGCAUAACAAGACAAUAAGCGGGGCUAAAAGUGUUCUAACGCAGCGCUAGGCGAUAUUGGCGAAGGGGGAAACAUCCGAGAAAGUUUUCCCGGUUCUGGACGUCUAUCAGACAGAUGAACCGGAGGGGAAAUGUUUGACGUUGCUAUGACAGGGACGUGUGGCGGUCGAACGGACCGCGUAUUCGGAUUCGUGUCGUCAUUCCGAGCAACUUUCAUGUAGAGAACUUGUUCAGCCGAGCUACAGAUUAUUUUCUAUGAUUUUUCAAAGAUUUAAACAUUAUUUUGGAAUUUAUUUUAAUUUGAAAAAUAAAUAACAAAAUGCUACGUGUACCCAGCUCUGUGUACACAGAAGUGUACAUAGAUGAUGACAAGUGGGCCAGGGGGUCCCGGUUGACUCAGUCAAUAGUGCAGUCAACAGUCAACUGUUUGACUGGUCAAAACUGUUGAAGGGGCCUAGAUGUCAUUCACACAUAUCUUGCAUAUUCUUUUUAAGUGGAUAUUUAGAGGGGGGUCCACCUGUCAUUUGCACUAUACGUAACCACUGAUUAGACUAACUAGUAGGAGUACUAAUUAGCUAACGGAGAGCCGGCCGGCCACUACACACACAGAAUACACACACGCACACACAGUGAUGUUUUCUGCUAACAAAAGAUAGGAUUUUGUGAUUUUCAUAGGAUUUAUUCCAUGCAUCAAAUGGAUGGUCCAGUGGGAUAAAAUGGAGUUUGUCAAGUAUACUUUCUACUCAUAUUUUCUUUAUCCCUGUUAGUAGUUGUUUAGCCGCAGUUUAGGGGCAGUCUAGGGGGUUACUCGAUGUAGAAAUUAAAAAGCUAGCUAGCGCUGCUACAGUACUAGCAGUAGUAUAGGCAGAGAAGCGCUGGCAAGGAAAGAAGCAGCAGGAGUGCGGCAGCAAGUAGAGCAUCAGUGCAGGGAGCAGCGAGCAGUGCUGGGCACGGCAUCGCGCGCGUGGACGGCGCCGGCUAGCGAUGGCGGCGGGCUGCAGGAGCGCAGGAGGUGAGCAUCAGGGGGCAGCGGUCGUGGGGCUGUGCGGGCGUCGGCGGAGCGGGUCGAGUAGGGCGCAGUCGCGCAGGCACGCGGACGAGUAAGGACUGCGGACAUGGCCACGAGGGCAAGGGCGAGGCGCAGGGACCUGUGGACGCGUGCACGCGAUGCUGGGGGCGCGACGACGGGUCGGUGAGCGCAUCGACCGGGGAUACGUUUGGCGGCGGCUACGGUGACGAUUGGCAACGAGAGUAGAGGAGAAAAGGGGAAGGGGACGCGUGGCUCACCGGGAGCCUGUAGGUGUGUAAAAG
rnacentral:lncRNA from 1 species